rnacentral:rRNA from 1 species
GACGUAGGGCGCGAGCGUUGUCCGGAAUUAUUGGGCGUAAAGAGCUUGUAGGCGGUUUGUCGCGUCUGCUGUGAAAUCUCAAGGCUCAACCUUGAGCUUGCAGUGGGUACGGGCAGACUAGAGUGUGGUAGGGGAGACUGGAAUUCCUGGUGUAGCGGUGAAACGCGCAGAUAUCAGGAGGAACACCGAUGGCGAAGGCAGGUCUCUGGGCCACUACUGACGCUGAGAAGCGAAAGCAUGGGGAGCGAACAGG